GUGGAUUAGAUACCCUGGUUGUCCACGCCGUAAACGAUGGAUACUAGCUGUUGGAAGCAAUUUCAGUGGCUAAGCGAAAGUGAUAAGUAUCCCACCUGGGGAGUACGAACGCAAGUUUGAAACUCAAAGGAAUUGACGGGGGCCCGCACAAGCGGUGGAGCAUGUGGUUUAAUUCGAUGAUACGCGAGGAACCUUACCAAGGCUUAAAUGCAGACUGACCGAUUUGGAAACAGAUCUUUCGCAAGACAGUUUACAAGGUGCUGCACGGCCGUCGCCAGCU
rnacentral:rRNA from 1 species